UACGUAGGGGGCAAGCGUUGUCCGGAUUUAUUGGGCGUAAAGAGCGUGUAGGCGGCCAUACAGGUCCGUUGUGAAAACUGGAGGCUUAACCUCCAGACGUCGAUGGAAACCGUAUGGCUAGAGUCCGGAAGAGGAGAGUGGAAUUCCUGGUGUAGCGGUGAAAUGCGCAGAUACCAGGAGGAACACCGGUGGCGAAGGCGGCAUCCUGGACCGGUAUUGACGCUGAGGCGCGAAAGCCAGGGGAGCAAACGGG
rnacentral:rRNA from 1 species